rnacentral:rRNA from 1 species
GAUGAACGCUGGCGGCGUGCCUAAUACAUGCCAGUCGAGCGAACAGACGAGGAGCUUGCUCCUCUGACGUUAGCGGCGGACGGGUGAGUAACACGUGGAUAACCUACCUAUAAGACUGGGAUAACUUCGGGAAACCGGAGCUAAUACCGGAUAAUAUAUUGAACCGCAUGGUUCAAUAGUGAAAGACGGUUUUGCUGUCACUUAUAGAUGGAUCCGCGCCGCAUUAGCUAGUUGGUAAGGUAACGGCUUACCAAGGCAACGAUGCGUAGCCGACCUGAGAGGGUGAUCGGCCACACUGGAACUGAGACACGGUCCAGACUCCUACGGGAGGCAGCAGUAGGGAAUCUUCCGCAAUGGGCGAAAGCCUGACGGAGCAACGCCGCGUGAGUGAUGAAGGUCUUCGGAUCGUAAAACUCUAUUAUUAGGGAAGAACAAAUGUGUAAGUAACUAUGCACGUCUUGACGGUACCUAAUCAGAAAGCCACGGCUAACUACGUG